AUCCAACUGAAGAAUUUCAAGUAGGAAGAAACGCGUGUCCUGGAU
rnacentral:hammerhead_ribozyme from 1 species